GUAACUUUGGUGAACCUACGUUGCAGCGCUUUGAGCCGUUAGUUGCUGCCCUUUGUUGCCUUGCUGCUUGUUUUUCAAACAAACACGUCUCUCAACUCUCAUUUCGUUCAGGUCGUGGCAAAUUUCUGAGGAAGUUAUGUGGAGUAGAAGUAGCGGAUGGAGAAUUAUUAGGAGAUUUGAUACGAAAACAGCGAUCGGGAUUGGGAUAUUUGGAAGAUGGAUGUCAAGUGAAGCAUCGGGAAAAAGGUUCGCGGCGGUGUGGGGGAAUGGAGACUACGGGAGGCUUGGGCUUGGGAGCUUGGACUCUCAGUGGAGGCCUGCUAUCUGCUCUGCGUUCCGCGGCCAAAACCUUAGAUCAAUCUCCUGUGGCGGUGCUCACACUCUAUUCUUAACAGAAUCUGGCCGUGUUUUUGCCACCGGUCUUAAUGAUUUCGGACAGCUCGGCAUCUCACAGAAUAAAAGUUAUGCUACUGAGCCAGUUGAGGUUUCUGGGAUUCAGAAAGACAUUGUUCAAAUUUCUGCUGGUUAUCAUCACUCUUGUGCUGUUACAGUGGAUGGAGAACUCUACAUGUGGGGGAAAAACUCCAAUGGGCAACUGGGCCUUGGAAAAAGGGCAGCAGCAGCAGUUCAUCUACCAACUAAAGUAGAGUGUUUGGAUGGAAUCACCAUUAAAAUGGCAGCUCUGGGCUCAGAGCACUCAGUGGCUAUUACUGAUGGUGGUGAGGCUUUAAGUUGGGGGCUAGGAGGUUCUGGAAGACUUGGUCAUGGCCAUGAAUCGAGCAUUUUUGGGUUCUUCAAAAGCAACAGUGAAUACACACCAAGGCUUAUCAAGAAUCUCGAGGGGAUUAAGGUUAAAAACGUAGCUGCUGGGUUGCUGCAUUCAGCGUGUAUUGAUGAAAAUGGCUGUGUUUUUAUAUUUGGUGAAAAAGUGGCAUAUAAAGUGGGCGUUGGGAAUGGGGACAAUGCAACAGCACGGUUCAAGAUUAGCAAACUGCCAUAUUCAGAAGAAGUUUCAUGUGGUGGUUAUCACACGUGUGUUCUGACAAGUAGUGGGCAACUAUAUACAUGGGGCUCAAAUGAGAAUGGCUGUCUUGGUAUCGGUUCUACAGAUGUAUUUCAUAUACCUGAAAGAGUUCAAGGUCCUUUCUUGAAAUCUCCUGUUACCAAGGUUUCUUGUGGUUGGAAGCAUACAGCAGCUAUUUCUGUAUGCAGGAAUAUACAAGAGGAAUGCCUAACUAGCAGUAUCAAAAGAGAGAGAAGAUUAUGAAGACACGAUCCAUUAAAACCUGUAGACUGUCCAAAGAAGCCAAGUCAUGAAGAAAAAAGCUUUAAGAUCUUCUAUUUUGCACUCGUGAUACUCAAUUUCUUUCAUUCCUUUCCCUCCAGUAUUUUUGUUGAUACUGAAAUUCUUUCGAACUACAGAUCAGGCUGAGUUAUGGUUUGCAAGUUUACUCCCCGUUCUAAUCUGCUUAAUUGACCACAAAAUAGAAAAGGGGCGCCCAUGCUUAAAUAUUUGGGAAAACUAUGCAAUUAGUUUAAACUUAAGCUCCCUAGCAUAGCCUGAUUCUGAUUAGGCAUUUUAGGGUUCUCACUAUUUUUGAAAACAGUGUUUUAGAAAUCACAUUGUUCAUCAAUUCAGAAAGCUGGUCGAUGGGACUGUUGGGUGCUCAUAGCUGGAUGGUGAUGCUUCAUAACAAAAUUUUGUUCAUAAAUGAAUGAUGGAAAAACGAGUGUCAGAAGAUAUAUGAGCAAAGUCUUGACAGCUAAUAUUUUCGUAUAAUUAUCUUAGAGCUUUGGAUGAUAAUAUUAUCUUACUUUGGCCUAUCAUAUUCAUAUGAACAAGACACCGAAUUAAAAGUCCCUUUUAUUCAUAAGAGCAAGACUAGUGAUAUAUGGAUAUAAAUUUGAUCUUCUGUAAGAAUUUCGUAUUGAUGUUGAAUGUUAAAAGAAAAUUUCAAUUAGAAGAUUUUAUUGAACUUUGCAAUUAUUCUUUUUAACCCUUUUUUUCAUUUGCUCAAGUACAUUAGAUUUUGCAUGCUAAAUGUUCCCUUUCGUAUUCAUGUACAUUAUUGUUUGGGUGAAUGUGCAAUGUAUAUUUGCUGACAACUUAAUUUAUUACUUCC